GAGUCCCGGUCGGAGCGUUCACGAGGCUUCACCGUGGGUACUCGCGAGCUUUUGUGUAACUGCUGCCCUUCACAGGAGACUGAGUGACACUCGGGAUCACGGAGGACAGGCUGAGGGAGGGGAUGUCGAGCCACGUGACAGGCAAGAAGCUACGGAACUGACAUUAGUUUAGGGCCUGGGAAUCCCUCUACACUGGGAGCCUCAGAUAAAGCAAACCAAAACAUUUCAUUAAAAUUCAUUUCCUUUUCUCACAUCUCACUGAAAACAGAAAAAUAUUUCAACCUUGGCAUAGCCACUGAAUUAUUCAUCUGAAAAUUAAAAACAUAAAAACAAAAUACAACUCGGAUGUGAUGCAGACUGCGUGUCCCUGCUCUUUGCUCCUUGCCUCGCUCCUCCUGGAAGUGAGGCUACAGACCAAGGAGAGCAAGUUCCCUCGAAUCUCAUCAUGGGUACAGCAACAUGGCUGCCAGGCACUGCAGUGCACAAGUUACCGUAAACUCUGGACCUCAGCCAAAGGUGGUAGCUUCUCACGGUCUCCGGAAGCAGAGAUAGCCAGAAGGAAAGCCCAUAGACCUGCCUGCCAUGGCCAGUAGCGCUCCCAGGUAAGUCCCUUGUGUUGCUUCUGACCUCUGCCCCAGAAGUGUCCCCUUUGUCACACACACUCAGCAGCAUAGGAAGUGAGCAUUCAUUCCCUGGCUGUUUCUGAAUGUCCCCUCUCGGAUUAUUUAUCUAGGACUUCUCCAGUUCAAAGCCAAAGUCUGUGCUCUGUUAACUAAAAAGCACUCGUUUCACUGUCUGGGGUAGAGUCUCACUUCCUAUCCCUGUCCUAGCCUUCCCCUUGCGUUGCUCCAUCGACUUCCCGCCCAUCGCCCAUCCCUCGUCUUCCUCAGCACUGCUCCGCUACCUUCCUCUCUCCUCUCCUGACCUUCCAUCAGUAAGGGCUUUCUUCCUCCACCCUGUAUCGCCAGUGACCAUGUUUUCUGAACUCAGAAUUCCUGAGAAAUUGAAGGAAGUAAGGCUUUGAUAGUGCAGCUGCGCAGAAAGCCUGGGGCGCAGGACAUUUGCAACCGCAGCUCAGGAUGCUCAGGAGCUCUUCCGGUGGACUUCCUUUCUGGAUACAAUCAUACUACUUGUCUGCCUUUCCUUUCUGUUUCCUGCGUUUCUGCCUCAUGAAAGUCGCUUAUUUGCUGAGGUAGUUUAUUUUCUCGUUGCCGUGGCCAAAUACCUGAUGAAAAGCAACUUAAAGGAAAAGCAAAUGGCUUAUUUUGGCUCACGGUUUAAGGGUCCAGUCCAUCAAAGCAGGGGAGUCGUUGAGUGAGAAUGGCUCUGACUGGCAGAAAGCGCAUGGGAGCGCUGUUUGCAUUGAAUUCGUAAUCGGAAAAACACAGAUGAACACCUGCAGUCAGUUCGCUGUCUUCUUUUUAAUCAGUCUGGAACCCCAGCUCAUGGGGUGGUGACACCCACAUUCAGGGCAGGUUUUCCCUGAUCAGUUAAACUUCUCUGGAACCACCCUUACAGACACAGCCAGAGGUGUGUCUCCUAGGUGAUUCCAAACCCAGUCAAACUGACAGUCAAACUCAACAGCCACGUUUCUAUUGCUGGACAGCAUAUUAGAGAUAACAGCUGAGGCAUCUUGUACUUCAGAGGACAUCUUGGAAGCUCUGAGGAUUGCUGAGACCCCCACAUGGGCUUUGGUUCUUGCAAAGUCCUUCCUCCAAGAAAAGCGGUCUAAUUAUACGUUGUGAUUGUCAGUAUUCCUCGGAUUAGAGAGAGGCUGCUUAACCCUGUUCCAUUCUGCUGCACAAAUAAAUCCCGGGAGGAAGAAGCAAAAGACUCUGCUUCCAUUGAAAUGUUGCUUGGAGAGUUUUGUGUGAGGGGGAUUCUUAAAAUAAAGGUAUGGUCCCUGGGUGCUGGGGCCCAUCCUAGGUGUCAAAGGCAGAACCCAGAGCAUUUAAGGGAAAGAGGCCCAGGGAGCCAGGGGGAGGGCAGACAGAUACAGCAGAGGUCAGUAGAGUGAGCUGGGAACGGGGAAGGUCAACAUGGGGAUGGAAACCAAUGGCUGAGAGCAACUGAGAAAUCCCAGGCUGGAUAGCCAGGACAAAGGUUUGCUCUAGUGAGCUGAGACCAGGUAAGGUGUAAUGGUUUCCUGGGGCCUUCGAAGGAAAAGACUGCAGGCUGUGUCUCACACAACAGAUGUUCCUUGUCUUGCGGUUCCCAAGCCUGAGAUUAAAACACUGAUAAUGUUGAUUAUUUUUGAGGGUAGGGAAAAGCUUUGUGUUUCAGGGCCCACAUUUCGUGUGUGUGUGUAUGUGUGUGUGUGUGUGUGGUAGGUGUGUGUGCACAUGUACAUGUGGCUAUGUGGACUUGCACACUCAUGCUUAUGUAGAGGCCGAAGUUCAAUGUUAGAUGUCCUCACCCUUUCCAACCUUAUUUUUCAGAUACGGUCUCUCACUGAUCCUGGACAUCUCCAUUUCAGCUGCACUGGGUGGGCUGCAAGCCUUGGGAUAAGCCUGUCUCCACCAGUGCUGUGCUUACAGACCCAAGCUACCACACCUGGCUUAUAUGUAGGUGCUGGGAAUUCAGACGUGGGCCCUCUUGUUUGCACAGCUAACACUUUACCAACUGAGAUAGCUCCCCAGGCUUCACGGUUCCCUUUUAUAGGACAUUAGUUAUGUCAUAGUGGGAACUACCCAGUAUGACCUCCUGUAACCACCUUCAGUUACUCUACUGACAAGUGACAUUACACUGGUAGGCACUAGGGUCAUGGUGUCAGCAUACGAGCAGAGUUGAGACAACAGAAAUCAAACUAUAACAGCAAGUCCUAAGAAGGAGGCAAGGCCAGUACGAUAUCUGCUUGAGCAGACAGAUAGGAACAGGAGCCUAGGGUGAGAACGGAACCCAGGGAAACAAUAUGGAAGAUGGGGGUCAUCAUGGGCUAAAGAAUAAGGGAAAGAAGAGAAAGUACUGAGGCAUGGGUGAAGACAGACUUCCUGCCUGAUGCUGCAGAAUGAGUUGGGGACAUAAAGCCCACAGUAGGAAUGUUAGCUUUCAUCAUGGGGGUGGUUCAUAUCCCUGUACACAUUCUGAAAGAUGACACGUAUUUGGAAACGAGGCAUUCAAGCCAUAUGAGAAUAGCACCCAACACUGUGGUUUCCAGGACACUCCUACUGGGGUCCCCUGGAACAUGCACAGGGGUGGUAGGGUGAUAAACUGUUCAUCACUCCAUGGUUCUGGCUAAAAACCAUUUCAGGCUCCAGUCCUGCUUUUUAAGACAGAGGGUGGUGCUCACUUAGCAGGCACGGAUUUCUGAUUUCUAGACAAACAUAAAUCUUGGCUAGAAUAAAUCAAGACUACAUUUCACAGCU